AAAGAGGCCAAGAACCUUCCCGCUUGCUUCCAAGUAUAAAAACCCAUAGCAGUUCCAGAACUUUACACAGUGGCCGUCAAGGCAGAAACGGAGACCAACUCAAGCCUUCAGUCUUCAUCGCCAUUCGCCAUGAAGUCCUAUGUUAUCUUGGCGCUCGUCAUCCUGGGGCAUCUGUGUCAAAUUCACGCAGCCACGCUCAGCAAGCCGGCAAAGAACACAGACGACGCAACAAAAAGACUGACGAAAGAAAUUUCCCAUUCCCUCAUGGAGCACCGUGAUGACAUCAUUGAAGCAUUCAAGGCACAUGAAAAGUCUGUAAACAGCUUCGGCGACGAAACCGAUGAACAGGCAAUUCCGGCCAUAGUUUUGGCUAUCGCGGCGGCCAUU
rnacentral:lncRNA from 1 species